rnacentral:rRNA from 1 species
UUGACCUCGGAUCAGGUAGGGAUACCCGCUGAACUUAAGCAUAUCAAUAAGCGGAGGAAAAGAAACCAACAGGGAUUGCCUCAGUAACGGCGAGUGAAGCGGCAAAAGCUCAAAUUUGAAAUCUGGCUCCUUCGGGGCCCGAGUUGUAAUUUGUAGAGGAUGCUUCGGGUGUGGCCGCGGUCUAAGUCCCCUGGAACGGGGCGUCGCAGAGGGUGAGAAUCCCGUCUUCGGCCGGCCGGCUUCGCCCGUGUGAAGCUCCUUCGACGAGUCGAGUUGUUUGGGAAUGCAGCUCUAAAUGGGUGGUAAAUUUCAUCUAAAGCUAAAUACUGGUCGGAGACCGAUAGCGCACAAGUAGAGUGAUCGAAAGAUGAAAAGCACUUUGAAAAGAGAGUUAAACAGCAUGUGAAAUUGUUGAAAGGGAAGCGCUUGCGACCAGAGUCGGCCGCGGGGGUUCAGCGGGCAUUUAUUGCCCGUGCACUCCCCCGGGGCCGGGCCAGCGUCGGUUUUGACGGCCGGUCAAAGGCCCCCGGAAUGUGUCGCCUCUCGGGGCGUCUUAUAGCCGGGGGUGCAAUGCGGCCAGUCGGGACCGAGGAACGCGCUUCGGCACGGACGCUGGCUUAAUUGGUCGUAAGCGACC